UCCAGACUCCUACGGGAGGCAGCAGUGGGGGAUAUUGCACAAUGGGGGGAACCCUGAUGCAGCGACGCCGCGUGGGUGAAGGAGCGUUUCGGCGCGUAAAGCCCUGUCGGCAGGGAAGAAGGAGGACGGUACCUGACUAAGAAGCCCCGGCUAACUACGUGCCAGCAGCCGCGGUAAUACGUAGGGGGCAAGCGUUAUCCGGAUUUACUGGGUGUAAAGGGGGCGCAGACGGCAGCGCAAGCCAGGAGUGAAAGCCCGGGGCCCAACCCCGGGACUGCUCUUGGAACUGCGCGGCUGGAGUGCAGGAGGGGCAGGCGGAAUUCCUGGUGUAGCGGUGAAAUGCGUAGAUAUCAGGAGGAACACCGGUGGCGAAGGCGGCCUGCUGGACUGCGACUGACGUUGAGGCCCGAAAGCGUGGGGAGCAAACAGGAUUAGAUACCCUCGUAG
rnacentral:rRNA from 1 species